AGUGGCCCUGCAGCUCCCGGACGUGCCAGGCCGUGAGGACGAAGGAUGGGCAGAGCCCCCCUCAGAAGUGCAGCGGCAGCUCCAGGACGUCCACCACAGCACAGCUGUCCCUGCCCGGAGCCCAGGGCCUGGGGCAGUUAUGGGUCCACACCAGGCACUGGACACGCGGGACAGGCAGGGACACACAGGAGAGAAGGGAUAGCAAAUCUUAAUACAGGGGCUAUACUUGGUAGUAUCACUUUUCUCUUCUUCAUUCUUUACAGAAGGUCUAAAUUUUCCACCAUGAUCCCGUGUUAUUUUUAUUUCAGAAAAAUACUUCAAAAAUGAAUAAUCAAAAAGGCCAAGCCUGAGGUAAGAUGAACAGGGAAAAUAAGAUUUCAGUUGACACUCACAAGGCUGGGAUCUUCUAAAGCAACUACACACCCAGCCCAGCCCCCAAUCGACUUUUGUUGUGGUUGUGGUGACGCAGUGCCCGAAGUUUCACUGAUCCAAUCAAUUAAAAUAAUAAGUUUGACAACAUGAAAAUUAAGACAGGAAGGUCUGAAAUGCUCUUUAAGGUUUGCUGGAAAUCUUCACUCUGGCUCAGGGUCCAGAUAAGGAUGGGUAAACAAGCUUGCCGGGUGAAAUUGAAGAUUUUAGAUUUGAGGACGUUGAUGACACUGUCCGGAAAAACAAUAAGAAGAAACUAAAUAAGUGAGCCUGCCUGGAUGACGUCUGUUUUCUGCACCAGCCACUCAUCGUUCCUGUGCUGAAGUCGUCCUGUGGAAUCCCACUAAUGGACACCUCGCAUCUGUGUCUGACUGUCCUGUGUGUUCCACACCAAGCAGGGCAUGACUUCGAGUUCCCGGAGGACAAGAGCGACCUGCCAGGCUCGUGAUGCGCAGGUGUCCAGGAGUCCAGCACGGCUCACGCAUAUUUGCUUCAAUUAAUAGAUGGGAUUGAUUCCCUAAGCUCUGCAGUGCUCCCUGGAAUCCCAUAGGAGGAUCUCGCCAUUCCCUAAGCAGUGAAGACGAGAGCAGGCCCUCUGCUGCUCUGAACCUUCCGGACAUGCCUGUGUCCACUGCAUGGUUCAAAAGGAGGACACCAGGCAGAAAGGCCAGGCUGGGCCUGGGAAGAAUGGCUGCUGGCAUUUGUGAACACUGACCACGUGUGGGCACUGGGUCCAGUGCUUUACCUCAUCAUCUCGGAAUUCAAACAAUUACAUGAAUUUCUACUCAAUUCAGCACUGAGUACUCAAUGGGAGCAUUCUACUCCCAUUUUAGAGGUGAGCAAACAGAGGGGGCGGCAGGCUGGGUGCCCUGCAUCCUUAGGUCUCACUCCCAAACCUAGGCCCACCCCUGCAGGCCAGUCUUUCCAAACCCAGUGGGGUGAUCACCCUUCUCCUUCCCAAAGCUCUGCAGGGAACUAAAUUACAGAUUCAGAAAUGUCCCAAGGAAAAUAAUGCUUCUGGCUGUUAGCUGUAGUUCUCCAUAGUUAGACACUGCAAAGACCUACACUGGUAACGAGCUAGUAAACCGGCACAUUUUCCCAUGAACUAUUUCUCCAAAUUGCAUCUAAAAAUAUGACUAUGAAUUCAAAUGAGCCUGAGAAUCUUGCGAAAUUUAUACUCAAAUGCACUGAAGUGUGGACUUAACUAUUUAUCUUAUUCACAUUUUCAGUGCUUUUAGCCACAACUAAUAGUAAUAUUGGUUGUGCGCAUUUAAUUAACAUAGAUUUACCCCGCAAACUGGCAAGGGGGUUGCUUUAAACACCCUUGGAGGUGCUCCUUUAAAAGCAAGUGUUUCGGGCUUCCCUGGUGGCGCAGUCGUUAAGAAUCCGCCUGCCAGUGCAGGAGACACGGGUGCGAGCCCUGGUCCAGGAAGAUCCCACGUGCCGCGGAGCACCUUAGCCCGUGCGUCACAACUGCUGAGCCUGCGCUCUAGAGCCCGCGAGCCACAACUACUGAGUCCAUGUGCCACAACUACUGAAGCCUGCGCGCCUAGAGCCCAUGCUCCGCAGCAAGAGAAGCCACCGCAAUGAGAAGCCCGCGCACCACAAUGAAGAGUAGCCCUCGCUCGCCGCAACUAGAGGAAGCCCGCACGCAGCAACGAAGACCCAACGCAGCCAAAAAUAAAUAAAUAAAUAAAUAAAUUUUUUU